rnacentral:rRNA from 1 species
UACGGAGGGGGCGAGCGUUAUUCGGAAUUAUUGGGCGUAAAGGGCGCGUAGGCGGCCUUGUAAGUCAAAGGUGAAAUCCCUCGGCUCAACUGAGGAACUGCCUUUGAAACUGCAAGCUUGAGGCCGGGAGGGGGUAGGCGGAAUUCCCAAUGUAGCGGUGAAAUGCGUAGAUAUUGGGAGGAACACCAGUGGCGAAGGCGGCUACCUGGA